rnacentral:rRNA from 1 species
CAGUAGCCGCGGUAAUACGUAGGGUGCGAGCGUUAAUCGGAAUUACUGGGCGUAAAGCGUGCGCAGGCGGUUCGUUAAGACAGAUGUGAAAUCCCCGGGCUUAACCUGGGAACUGCAUUUGUGACUGGCGAGCUAGAGUAUGGCAGAGGGGGGUAGAAUUCCACGUGUAGCAGUGAAAUGCGUAGAGAUGUGGAGGAAUACCGAUGGCGAAGGCAGCCCCCUGGGCCAAUACUGACGCUCAUGCACGAAAGCGCGGGGAGCAAACAGGAUUAGAUACCCCGGUAGUCCCUGUCUCUUAUAC